rnacentral:rRNA from 1 species
GUUGUAUGGUUAAGUGACUAAGCGUACACGGUGGAUGCCUGGGCAGUCAGAGGCGAUGAAGGACGUACUAACUUGCGAUAAGCGCAGAUAAGGCAGUAAGAGCCGUUUGAGUCUGCGAUUUCCGAAUGGGGAAACCCAACUGCAUAAGCAGUUACUGUUAACUGAAUACAUAGGUUAACAGAGCAAACCGGGGGAACGUGAAACAUCUAAGUACCCCGAGGAGAAGAAAUCAACCGAGAUUCCGGUAGUAGCGGCGAGCGAACCUGGAUUAGCCCUUAAGCACUCGGUGAAGUAGGUGAACAAGCUGGAAAGCUUGGCGAUACAGGGUGAUAGCCCCGUAACCGACGCUUCAUCGAGCGUGAAAUCGAGUAGGGCGGGACACGUGAUAUCCUGUCUGAAUAUGGGGGGACCAUCCUCCAAGGCUAAAUACUCCUGACUGACCGAUAGUGAACCAGUACCGUGAGGGAAAGGACGAAAAGAACCCCUGUGAGGGGAGUGAAAUAGAACCUGAAACCGUGUACGUACAAGCAGUAGGAGCACCUUCGUGGUGUGACUGCGUACCUUUUGUAUAAUGGGUCAGCGACUUAUAUUCAGUGGCAAGGUUAACCGUAUAGGGGAGCCGUAGCGAAAGCGAGUCUUAACUGGGCGCUCAGUCUCUGGAUAUAGACCCGAAACCGGGUGAUCUAGCCAUGGGCAGGUUGAAGGUUGAGUAACAUCAACUGGAGGACCGAACCGACUUAAUGUUGAAAAAUUAGCGGAUGGACUUGUGGCUAGGGGUAAAAGGUCCAAUCAAACUCGGAGAUAGCUGGUUCUCCCCGAAAGCUAUUUAGGUAGCGCCUCGGACGAAUACUACUGGGGGUAGAGCACUGUUAAGGCUAGGGGGUCAUCCCGACUUACCAACCCUUUGCAAACUCCGAAUACCAGUAAGUACUAUCCGGGAGACACACGGCGGGUGCUAACGUCCGUCGUGGAGAGGGAAACAACCCAGACCGCCAGCUAAGGUCCCAAAGUAUUGCUAAGUGGGAAACGAUGUGGGAAGGCUCAGACAGCUAGGAUGUUGGCUUAGAAGCAGCCAUCAUUUAAAGAAAGCGUAAUAGCUCACUAGUCGAGUCGGCCUGCGCGGAAGAUGUAACGGGGCUAAGCAAUACACCGAAGCUGCGGCAAUGAAGUUUACUUCAUUGGGUAGGGGAGCGUUCUGUAAGCCGUUGAAGGUGAAUCGUAAGGUUUGCUGGAGGUAUCAGAAGUGCGAAUGCUGACAUGAGUAACGACAAGGGGGGUGAAAAACCUCCCCGCCGGAAGACCAAGGGUUCCAGUCCAACGUUAAUCGGGGCAGGGUGAGUCGACCCCUAAGGCGAGGCCGAAAGGCGUAGUCGAUGGGAAACGGGUUAAUAUUCCCGUAC